CAGUUGUCUAUAUAAAGAGUAUCCUUAUUAAGUUUGGGAAUCAAAGUAAUUACACCUUGUUUUAAGGAUGCCAGGAACUCCCCAUUUUCUAUUGAUUCUUGAAACAUAGCAAGAAUGAAAGGAAUCAAUUUAUCAUUGAAUGCUUUAUAAAACUCGCUUAUUAAACCAUCAUUUCCAGGGGACCUAUUGUCCUUAAGGCUUUUAAUACAGUCUUUUAUCUCAAUUUCAGAUAACUCAUCAUCACAAAAAUCCCUGAAAUCAUUAUCUAUCUUAGCAAUGUUUGCAACACGUCAUGCUCUUAUCAACUGAGCUACGAAGGAGCACGUCGAAGUCACUAGAAUGAUGACAAGCCAUUUUAACGGAUUCUAAAGGGAAUCAGAAUUCCAAACUAAUUUCUAUGGCAACACAGUUGUCAAUUUUGUAAACAAUCAUUUUCGAACGUGUGUUGCCAAGAGACAUCUAACUGACGUUCUAUGGAACGUUUUCUGUGCGAAAACAAAAAUUUUGCUGCUGACAACAAACUUGUUUGAUUUUUGAGACCUGAGAACAAUCGACUGGAAAAUGCCUGGGUGCUUUUCAAGACUGGCGGAGAGAGUGCAUGGACGUCGGCGGCCUACUGCGUCGACAGGUUGUUCAAAUUCAUUUGUGGCUUGUUUUUCUUGUCUUUUUCUGUUUUGCAGGGUUCGUGAUCGUCGACAGCGACAGCGACUUCGAAGAGGAAACAACUGUCCUGGAUGAGGUCCAGUUGGAUGUGCCAUUGGAUGAUGUGCCAGAUGUUCCACAGCUGCCAGUCCUCCUUGAUGUCCAGAAUGCUGCUAUCAUCCUUGAGGAUGUGCCAGAUGUGCAGACUAUCCUUGAGGAGGCCACUGGCAUUUGGCAGUUGAUUCUGAUUAGGUUCAGCCCCCAGUACUGUGGGCCUGUUGUGAUCAGGGU